GUGACAUCAGCCGCGGUAAUACGUAGGUGGCAAGCGUUGUCCGGAUUUAUUGGGCGGAAAGCGAGCGCAUGCGGUUUCUUAAGUCUGAUGUGAAAGCCCCCGGCUCAACCGGGGAGGGUCAUUGGAAACUGGGAGACUUGAGUGCAGAAGAGGAGAGUGGAAUUCCAUGUGUAGCGGUGAAAUGCGUAGAUAUAUGGAGGAACACCAGUGGCGAAGGCGGCUCUCUGGUCUGUAACUGACGCUGAUGCUCGAAAGCGUGGGGAGCAAACAGGAUUAGAUACCCUGGUAGUCC
rnacentral:rRNA from 1 species